rnacentral:rRNA from 1 species
AUGCCAAGUAGGAAGCACUCUGCUUGCAGAGUGUGGAUGAGUGGCGAACGGGUGAGUAACACGUGGGGAACCUGCCCAUAAGAGGGGGAUACCAUUCGGAAACGGAAUGCUAAUACCGCAUAAGUGAUGUGGAGCGCAUGCUCGGAUCAUUAAAGAUGGCUUCGGCUAUCGCUUAUUGGAUGGCCCCGCGGCGUAUUAGCUAGGUGGUUGAGGUAAUGGCUUCCACCAGGGCUGUGAUACGUAGGGCCGACCUUGGAGAGGGUGAUCGGCCCCACACUGGACCUGAGACACGGUCCAAGACUCCUACGGGAGGCAGCAGUAGGGAAUCUUCCACAAUGGGCGAAAGCCUGAUGGAGCAAUACCGCCGGGUGAGUGAAGAAGGUCUUCGGAUCGUAAAGCUCUGUUGUUAGAGAAGAAUAAGAGGUGUAGUAACUGGCACCUCCUUGGGCUGGGGG